rnacentral:tRNA from 1 species
AUUUAUUUAGUUUAACACUAAAACAUUAUAUUUUCAUUAUAAAAAUGAUAAUUUUAUCAAUAAAUA